AUGGCCAGCCCCGGCGCCGGCCACCUCAUUCCAAUGGCCGAGCUGGCGCGGCGGCUCGUGGAGCUCGGCUUCUCGGCCACGAUCCUCACGUUCACCAACCUCUCCGCCCCACUAGAUCAACUUCUCCCAUCCCUCGCCGCCUCCGUCGCCACCGCCGCGCUCCCCGCUGUCCGGAUGGACGACCUUCCCGCCAACGCCCACGACGGCCGCGUGCUCGUGGAGCUCAUUCGCCGCUCCCUCCCCAACAUCCGCGACCUCGUCCGCUCCAUCAACAACUCUAGUACCGGGGCCGCCCCGCUCGCCGCUCUGGUGCCGGACUUCCUCUGCUCCAUGGCGCUGCCUAUCGCCGCCGAGCUCGGCGUCCCCGGCUACGUCUUCUUCCCUAGCAACCUGGCCAUGGUCGCCCUCACGCGCCACAUCGUCGAGCUCCACGAGGGCGCCGCUUUCGGCGAAUACCGCGACGUUGCCGUGCCUCUCGAGCUUCCCGGCGGAGUGUCGCUGAGCGGCGCUGACAUCCCGGACGCGUUCCGCGGCAGUUUCACCAACCCGCGUUACUCGAAACUUGUUGAGUUGGUCCGGAGCUAUCGCCUCGCCGACGGCAUACUGGUGAACACGCUCUACGACAUGGAACCUGCCACCGCGGAGGCGUUCGAGCAGCUGGCGGCGGAGCAAGCUGCUGGCGCGUCAGCGUUUGCGUACCCGCCGGUGUUCCCCGUAGGGCCGUUCGUCCGGCCGCCAGAUCCCGACGAAGCCGCCGCCGGCGCGUCGACGCCGUGCUUGGAGUGGCUCGAUCGUCAGCCGACCGGCUCUGUGGUGUACGUCGCCUUCGGGAGCGGCGGGGCACUUUCUGUGGAGCAGACGGCCGAGCUCGCGGCUGGUCUCGAGGCGAGCGGCCAAAGGUUUCUUUGGGUCGUGCGGAUGUCAAGCCUCGACGGCCGCGGCAUCCGAGACGAUGACGAUCCAUUAACGUGGCUCCCCGAGGGCUUCUUGGAGAGGACGAGGGGCAGGGGCCUGGCCGUCGCGGCGUGGGCGCCUCAGGUGCGCGUGCUGUGCCACCCUGCGACCGCCGUCUUCGUGUCGCACUGCGGGUGGAACUCGACUCUGGAGAGCGUGGGGUCCGGCGUGCCCAUGCUCGCGUGGCCGCUGUAUGCAGAGCAGAGGAUGAACGCCGUUAUCCUGGAAGAGAAGCUCGGGGUGGCGCUGCGGGUGCCGGCGGCACGAGAGGACGAUCGAUGCUUCGUGACGUGCUACGGGAUCGCCACCGCUGUGAAGGAGCUCGUGGAGGGGGGUCAGAAGUUGUGGCGACGGGCCGAGAACCUGCAGAAAGCGGGAGCACAUGCGUGGUCACCGUACGGGCCGUCGCGCCGGGUGCUCGAGGAGGUCGCCUUCAAGUUGAAGGCGGCGCUUGGCAGAGAGAAGUAG
rnacentral:rRNA from 1 species